rnacentral:rRNA from 1 species
UAGGGAAUCUUCCGCAAUGGACGAAAGUCUGACGGAGCAACGCCGCGUGAACGAUGAAGGCCUUCGGGUCGUAAAGUUCUGUUGUUAGGGAAGAACAAGUACCGUUCGAAUAGGUCGGUACCUUGACGGUACCUAACGAGAAAGCCACGGCUAACUACGUGCCAGCAGCCGCGGUAAUACGUAGGUGGCAAGCGUUGUCCGGAAUUAUUGGGCGUAAAGCGCGCGCAGGCGGUCUCUUAAGUCUGAUGUGAAAGCCCACGGCUCAACCGUGGAGGGUCAUUGGAAACUGGGAGACUUGAGUGCAGAAGAGGAGAGUGGAAUUCCAUGUGUAGCGGUGAAAUGCGUAGAUAUAUGGAGGAACACCAGUGGCGAAGGCGACUCUCUGGUCUGUAACUGACGCUGAGGCGCGAAAGCGUGGGGAGCAAACAGG